CUUCACAUACAUUCAGCGCAUGGUGAUUAGAUGGCUACUGAUACAGCGGCUGACGGGGAAAAAAAUGUCUGUUUGCUUUCAAUCCGCUGUGCCCACAGUGCAGAUUAUGUAGCCUGAGGCGAUAACUAGACCUCAUUGAAAUCUUGAUAAAUUCCAGGUGAAUUCUGCAAGUGCCUUUGUUUUUACUUCUGAAGAAUUAGCUUCAUCAGAAGCUGAGUGUUUGCAUGUGUUUAGUAGUCGUUCCAUUUGGUGGAUUGCAAAGCCUUCCUGAGAUCAUUUUCCCUUUAAAAGCCUCAGUGUUCAGCUUGUUUCAUGGUUCCAUGUGAGUGGUUUGAUGAGCACGCUGAGAGGGAACGGAACGCUCCCCGUUAUCACCAGUAAGACUUCCACCAUCAAGAGGAGGCAGACGUCGGGGUGGAACAUUAUCUCUGCGACAUCGCUCCCUGUCAAGAAAGGGCUGUUUGUUGGAGUUAACAGCUUCUGUUUUCAUAUGCAGAUGGAUAACUUCAGGUGUUCACAGUGACGCGCUGGUUUUUGUAUCACGACUGGCAGAUUGGGGAUCACACACCUAACAACUGCGACAGGACCUUUCAACCCAACUAUCGUCAAUUGAGCGCAUCAAACUCUCGUGGAAACUCUUUAAAGAUCAACUGUUGGAUGUAAUAAAUAUACCAGGCCCGUUCACUGGUCGGAAAAUGACAGACGCCUGGAGAGCCAAGAGCAUGGAGGUGGAGAAGGGGGACUGAGCACGACUGGAGAGCAGGUGCCGCCAUGGAUGAAGGUCCUUAUAAGCAGCAGCUUGAUCGAUGAUUGGCGAAGAUGGGACAUGGUCUGAUGCUGAUAGGCUGACAGCAGAUGUCGCUGCGAUUGGAUGAUGCAGGUGAGGCUGGAGAGUCUUUCAGUUUGAAUUUACACCUAGACGUCAUUUCCACAGCACAUCUAGAUGUUGAGGUUGUCAAAGUCAAGCUAGCAUAACUGAGCUGCUUUUCUCUCCCUCGCUAUGUUUUUUUUUUUUUUUAUUAAAACCUUUUCCUGACUAGUGAAAUAUGAUACUUUUGGACCUUGUUAUUUGCCUGUGAUGGUGUUGACAAUUAGAGCAAAGCACAGAGUCCCUUUUUCUUCCACAUAUCACAAGAUUUGUGGCGUUAUGUUGACAACUUGGCAGCUAAAACCAAUGCUAGUCAUUAUCAGUUAUAUUACCUGACAACAUUUAGGACUUACAACAGCUAUAGUACUGAAUUAUUAAUUUCCAUCUA